GACACCUGUAACCUGACGUCGCUGCGCGGUCGGAAACAGGCAGGGAGUAAAUUUGUUUAAAACUUAAUGAGCGGCCGUGGAUAACCCUCGGCGAAAUCAGGAUUUGCACCGAUUUACAAGACAACUGACGUUCAUAUGCUUUAUAUGCAGGAAUGAUUACAGGUUGACAUCGGCAGCAUGGACCUGAUGAAAUUAGAGUUUUCCUGCCUUCUGCUGAAACAUUUCAUGCUCUGUGUUGCCUCAGCUCCUCAGACAUAAUAAGGACACAACGUGAAGUGCUGACCGGCGGCGGCUUCCUGGUUCCCAGCGCUGGUUCUGUCCAGGCGGCAGGAAGUGAGGCGCGCAUGUUGCAACACAUCAUCACCAGGUUUCCCUCAGUGGCUUCAUGAUGAUCUUAGGGAGGAAUUCUUUUGUCUGUCCUUAUGGAAACAGUGUCUGUUGGUGUCUGAUGAUGACAAAUGAGCCGCAUACCGGCUCUUCUUUCUUCCGGAAACUGUUUUGAAACUUCACACCUACACAGUCCAGGGAAAACUUUGCUCUGUUUACAGUUUGUGAUGGUGAAUUAAACAAAA